rnacentral:rRNA from 1 species
UACGAAGGGGGCUAGCGUUGCUCGGAAUCACUGGGCGUAAAGCGCACGUAGGCGGCUUCUUAAGUCAGGGGUGAAAUCCUGGAGCUCAACUCCAGAACUGCCUCUGAUACUGAGGAGCUCGAGUCCGGGAGAGGUGAGUGGAACUCCGAGUGUAGAGGUGAAAUUCGUAGAUAUUCGGAAGAACACCAGUGGCGAAGGCGGCUCACUGGUCCGGUACUGACGCUGAUGUGCGAAAGCGUGGGGAGCAAACAGG